GUGGGGAAUAUUGGGCAAUGGGGGAAACCCUGACCCAGCAACGCCGCGUGAAGGAAGAAGGUUUUCGGAUCGUAAACUUCUAUCCUUGGUGAAGAUAAUGACGGUAGCCAAGAAGGAAGCCCCGGCUAACUACGUGCCAGCAGCCGCGGUAAUACGUAGGGGGCAAGCGUUGUCCGGAAUGAUUGGGCGUAAAGGGCGCGUAGGCGGCCUGGUAAGUCUGGAGUGAAAGUCCUGCUUUUAAGGUGGGAAUUGCUUUGGAUACUGUCGGGCUUGAGUGCAGGAGAGGUAAGCGGAAUUCCCGGUGUAGCGGUGAAAUGCGUAGAGAUCGGGAGGAACACCAGUAGCGAAGGCGGCUUACUGGACUGUAACUGACGCUGAGGCGCGAAAGCGUGGGGAGCAAACAGGAUUAGAUACCCCAGUAGUCC
rnacentral:rRNA from 1 species